AUACCCCUAAUAAUUAUUAUAUUUGUUUUUUUUGUGAUUUGACAAGAUAGUCAAAAUAUCUGAUACGUCCCCCCAUAGGGGGACAGUCUAUAUUAAAUGGAUUUUUGGAAGAGGGAGAUGGAAGCGGGGCUUGCUCCGACCACUCCACGCAUCGACCCGGUAUUGCAGAACCUCCGGGAACGGUGCACAGUUC